UGGGGAAUAUUGGACAAUGGGCGAAAGCCUGAUCCAGCCAUGCCGCGUGUGUGAAGAAGGUCUUCGGAUUGUAAAGCACUUUAAGUUGGGAGGAAGGGCAGUUACCUAAUACGUUAUCUGUUUUGACGUUACCGACAGAAUAAGCACCGGCUAACUCUGUGCCAGCAGCCGCGGUAAUACAGAGGGUGCAAGCGUUAAUCGGAAUUACUGGGCGUAAAGCGCGCGUAGGUGGUUUAGUUAAGUUGGAUGUGAAAUCCCCGGGCUCAACCUGGGAACUGCAUUCAAAACUGACUGACUAGAGUAUGGUAGAGGGUGGUGGAAUUUCCUGUGUAGCGGUGAAAUGCGUAGAUAUAGGAAGGAACACCAGUGGCGAAGGCGACCACCUGGACUGAUACUGACACUGAGGUGCGAAAGCGUGGGGAGCAAACAGGAUUAGAUACCCUAGUAGUCCCUGAGCGGGCUGGCAAGGCGCAU
rnacentral:rRNA from 1 species